rnacentral:rRNA from 1 species
GCGANCUGAUUAGAAGCUUGCUUCUAUGACGAAGCUUGCUUAACACGUGGUAGCGGCGGACGGGUGAGUAACACGUGGGCAACCUGCCUGUAAGACUGGGAUAACUUCGGGAAACCGAAGCUAAUACCGGAUAGGAUCUUCUCCUUCAUGGGAGAUGAUUGAAAGAUGGUUUCGGCUAUCACUUACAGAUGGGCCCGCGGUGCAUUAGCUAGUUGGUGAGGUAACGGCUCACCAAGGCAACGAUGCAUAGCCGACCUGAGAGGGUGAUCGGCCACACUGGGACUGAGACACGGCCCAGACUCCUACGGGAGGCAGCAGUAGGGAAUCUUCCGCAAUGGACGAAAGUCUGACGGAGCAACGCCGCGUGAGUGAUGAAGGCUUUCGGGUCGUAAAACUCUGUUGUUAGGGAAGAACAAGUACAAGAGUAACUGCUUGUACCUUGACGGUACCUAACCAGAAAGCCACGGCUAACUACGUGCCAGCAGCCGCGGGUAAUACGUAGGUGGCAAGCGUUAUCCGGAAUUAUUGGGCGUAAAGCGCGCCGCAGGCGGUUUCUUAAGUCUGAUGUGAAAGCCCACGGGCUCAACCGUGGAAGGGUCAUUGGGAAACUGGGGGAACUUGAGUGCAGAAAAAGAAAAGCGGAAUUCCACGUGUAGCGGU